GAUGAACGCUGGCGGCGUGCCUAAUACAUGCAAGUCGAACGAGUUCUCGUUGAUGAUCGGUGCUUGCACCGAGAUUCAACAUGGAACGAGUGGCGGACGGGUGAGUAACACGUGGGUAACCUGCCCUUAAGUGGGGGAUAACAUUUGGAAACAGAUGCUAAUACCGCAUAGAUCCAAGAACCGCAUGGUUCUUGGCUGAAAGAUGGCGUAAGCUAUCGCUUUUGGAUGGACCCGCGGCGUAUUAGCUAGUUGGUGAGGUAAUGGCUCACCAAGGCGAUGAUACGUAGCCGAACUGAGAGGUUGAUCGGCCACAUUGGGACUGAGACACGGCCCAAACUCCUACGGGAGGCAGCAGUAGGGAAUCUUCCACAAUGGACGCAAGUCUGAUGGAGCAACGCCGCGUGAGUGAAGAAGGCUUUCGGGUCGUAAAACUCUGUUGUUGGAGAAGAAUGGUCGGCAGAGUAACUGUUGUCGGCGUGACGGUAUCCAACCAGAAAGCCACGGCUAACUACGUGCCAGCAGCCGCGGUAAUACGUAGGUGGCAAGCGUUAUCCGGAUUUAUUGGGCGUAAAGCGAGCGCAGGCGGUUUUUUAAGUCUGAUGUGAAAGCCCUCGGCUUAACCGAGGAAGCGCAUCGGAAACUGGGAAACUUGAGUGCAGAAGAGGACAGUGGAACUCCAUGUGUAGCGGUGAAAUGCGUAGAUAUAUGGAAGAACACCAGUGGCGAAGGCGGCUGUCUGGUCUGUAACUGACGCUGAGGCUCGAAAGCAUGGGUAGCGAACAGGGUUAGAUACCCUGGUAGUCCAUGCCGUAAACGAUGAAUGCUAGGUGUUGGAGGGUUUCCGCCCUUCAGUGCCGCAGCUAACGCAUUAAGCAUUCCGCCUGGGGAGUACGACCGCAAGGUUGAAACUCAAAGGAAUUGACGGGGGCCCGCACAAGCGGUGGAGCAUGUGGUUUAAUUCGAAGCAACGCGAAGAACUUUACCAGGUCUUGACAUCUUUUGAUCACCUGAGAGAUCAGGUUUCCCCUUCGGGGGCAAAAUGACAGGUGGUGCAUGGUUGUCGUCAGCUCGUGUCGUGAGAUGUUGGGUUAAGUCCCGCAACGAGCGCAACCCUUAUGACUAGUUGCCAGCAUUUAGUUGGGCACUCUAGUAAGACUGCCGGUGACAAACCGGAGGAAGGUGGGGAUGACGUCAAAUCAUCAUGCCCCUUAUGACCUGGGCUACACACGUGCUACAAUGGAUGGUACAACGAGUUGCGAGACCGCGAGGUCAAGCUAAUCUCUUAAAGCCAUUCUCAGUUCGGACUGUAGGCUGCAAUUCGCCUACACGAAGUCGGAAUCGCUAGUAAUCGCGGAUCAGCACGCCGCGGUGAAUACGUUCCCGGGCCUUGUACACACCGCCCGUCACACCAUGAGAGUUUGUAACACCCGAAGCCGGUGGCGUAACCCUUUUAGGGAGCGAGCCGUCUAAGGUGGGACAAAUGAUUAGGGUG
rnacentral:rRNA from 2 species